GGAAAGUCGAGUUCCCAUACGAUCACCGAAGUUAAGCAACGUCGAGCCUGCUCACUACCUAGAAGGGCAGCCGCUUUGGAAUACCAGGUGUUGUAGG